UUCCCAUCAGUGUUCACCUAAAAGGAAGAGG
rnacentral:piRNA from 1 species